UUCUGCAGUCCCGGCAGUGUUUUGACGACUGCCUCACUAAAGGAAGCUAAAAGCUGUGCUGAUGCCUCCCAGACGAGCCUCGUUGGAAGCACAGAACCUUCACGGCUCGGAGCCGCUGACACCGUGACAAAGGGAGCCCUGCUCAGGAGAAAGAGCAAAUGAGAGGCAGUUGCACUUUUUCAGGUGUCAGGCUGGAGGAAGCCACUUGAAGAUGAAUCUACCUCUGCCUUAGGAUUGCCUGAUGGCCUGUGCCAUUCCAUGUUAUAUCUACUGAUUUGCUCCCUGUAUUCAAAGAUUUUUUUUUUUUACUUAAUUCUCUCUUACUGACCCUGAGAGUGACCAUAUUUUUAACCAAUUUGGUCUUCAGCCUCAAAACUUAGCUCUUUCCUUUUGUGGUCCCCGAAUCCUAUCACGUGUCAUGGUGGCUGUGAAGAUGUUUGCCAAGCCUGCUGAGAAGGCUCAUCUGUGGCAUCCAAAAGCAGAGAUUUCAACUCUGGACCCCUGUGACCUGCCUUUGUAAUUAUGGAUACCCAGCACUGUUUUGAAAUAUCAGUGGACAUCCAGUUUUUAAAAGCCCUCAGAGCUUUGGGAGACACCCCUUUAUCUCUCUGGCAUGUCAGAGAACCGAUUCAACCCUUCUCAUCUCCUCCUCCUUCCCUCUCUUGGGCCAUCAGGAUGCGGCAGCAACUCACUGUGCAUGUUUUUACAGCUCUUCUCCAGUAAUGCUGCCAUUUCCACUGCAGACCACAGGAUAAAAGGACCGCUUCACCGUGGCCCAGGAUACCCUUUUAAGUAGGAGCUCAUGAGGCAACCCACACAGGCAGGCUGGAGAGGAGUGGCAAGAAGCUCACCUUCGGACAGUAGUGAGCAGAGCAACAGAGGCCCCCAGAGACUUCGCACAACGGAAAAGAGAUCAACUCCCGCAUUUGCAGGGGACGUGAAAGUGCAAUACUGUGAGGAACAAAAGGAAGCCUCAUCUCUGGAAGCCGGGAGGAAAAACAGUCGGUGUAGACAGCAGCGGCAGGGACCAGAGCUGACCAGAAGGCUGGGUCCCAGCAACAAUUAGAGACAGGCAGCAGCUGAGGCCCCUUCUCUGAGAACCAUUUCAAUUGCACAGUGGCCACAGAAGGCUCCAUUGGCCCGGCAGCCAGCUCUGCAGAGCCAUUUGUCCACAAGGAAAAUAAUAGCCCCGGCCUCAUUGCUUUGGGCUGCAGGGAGGACAAUGACCCACCAUGAAAAGAGUUAAAAAGAUUCUGGGGAAGGGGAAAGGCAGGCCCACACGGUGGCAAUUCAAGAUCUUUUGGAUGCCGUGAGCGUGUUCUUUAAUUAAGCCCCUCUUCUUCAGCUCAUCCUGCAGAAACGCACCUGCUUCCCAUCUGCCAUCCAAAACGGCAAGCACAAGAAUGACUUCACACUGUCACUUUCAGAGUUCCGCUGUGGCCCACAGUGAUUUUUCAAGAAAGGCAGCCACAGACUCGCUCGCGCUUUCUCUUUCUCCUUUCCUCUGAAAGACUCUAUAAAAACCACAUUAAAAAGUGUGUGAGCCAAGCAAUUUCAUUUAUCAAAGGAAGAAGGUCAUCCAUAGCAUUCAUUCUAAGAAUAUCAGGCACACGGCCAGCCCUGGACACAAGGCAUGAAGACCAGAGGGCCCUUUAUUGACCUAAUCUCUAUUUUGUCGCCAAACUGCAUCUGUGUCUGAAAGCUGGGACACACAAUAUUUCCCUCUACCAAAAUAAUUUUAUUUUCUGCAGCAGCAUGUAACAAACAAUUAAUGGUGGUAACAUGGGCUUCUGUCAUUUUCUGAACAA
ensembl:lncRNA SILC1 sciatic injury induced lincRNA upregulator of SOX11